ACAUAUGUCGAUAUACAUCCAGUCCGCCACCAGAUGCUGCUGUUCUGUGUGGUUUCAAAGCCCUGAACGGGUGGUUCAUUUUUCCCACACAAUUAGAUGAACCCCCAGUGAGGCUUCAUGGGGCUUCUAUUCCCAUCCCUAGUAAAAGGACUCAAAUGAUUAAAAGCUUUAGUAAAAAGGUCCACAUGUCAAGCUCACCCACCAAAGCCAAACCAGGAAACCAGCAUCCAGAUGGAACUCCCACAGCUGCUAUUUAUCAGCCUUGUGAGCCAAUCACAGCUCAACAGACAGGUGCUGGCCAUGAAUAUUAACCUAUGGAACACCAUGAGGGACAAACUACCACCCACAGCCCUGUCUGCCACAUGAGGAUGUCAUCAAGAAGGGACAACAGUAGGGAAAGGGACUGAACCAAGUGAACAGCUUCCUCUCUUCAGCAGACACAUGUUCCGAGUACAAGUGUGUCAAAAGCUGACAUCCUCACCGUUCAGGCCGGUGAUUGGAACAAGCGGAAGCCAGAAAAGUUGGACCAGACAUUACCAAAAUGAUACUCCCAGAUUAUGGUGCCAUGAUAAAAAAAAGGCUUUAUGAUGUCAUGCUGCUGACCAUACUGUGAUUGGUGAAGUCCAGCAGUGCUGGGGGUCCUUGAAGUGUUGUUUGAGAGCAUCUCCUCCCUGCUUCUGGAAGGCAGCACAGAGGCAUUAAUGGAGUGAGGACGUGAAGGACUAACUGUCUGCCGAGGAGGAGAUCAUGUACAGCGCCUGCAAAAGUAUUUGGCCCCCUUGAACUUUUCAACCUUUUGCCAAAUUUCAGGCUUUAAACACAAAAAUAUAAAGCUGACAUUUUUUGUGAAGAAACAACAUCAAGUGGGACACAAUCAUGAAGUGUAAAAAAUUUAUUGGAUAUUUCAAACUUGUUUAACAAAUAAAAACCGGAAAUAUUGGACAAAAUUAUUUAGCCCUUUUUACUUUCAGUGCAGCAAAGUCUCUCCAGGUGUUCAGUGAGGAUCUCUGAAUGAUCCAAUGUUUGACCUAAAUGACCAAUGAGGAUAAAUAGAAUCCACCUAUUCAAGUCUCCAUAUCAAUGCACCUGCUCUGUGAUAGUCUCAGAGAGAGCAUCAUGAAGAACUGGGAACACACCAGGCAGGUCCAAGAUUUUUUUUUCAAGCACUGAGACGCUGUCAGCGCCCAGGAAACAGGCUGUACUUUUACUAUAUUAAGCACCUUUUGACCCAACAGUCACAGAUAAGUGUGACAGAGAUACUAUUUACUUUACUGUUUUACACAAGGACACUGUGAUACAGUGUGUGAAGGGACUGUUGAUUAAACCAGUUGUGGACACCCCCCUCCUUAUGAACACCUUCAGCACCACCGCGGCCCAGGUUAUCAGUCCAGCAUUUCGUCUCCAUCCCUCAGCCUUGGACUUUGCAUCCAACAUGUGAGCCACACGGGAGGGGGGGUUCGACCGCAUGUGGUCAGGCUUGCAGGGCUUUCAGUUGUUUUUUCCACAAAAGUGGAACUAUUAGAGAAAGAAUGCAUAUUUACUGUCCCAGUUCUGACCAUGCAGUUGUUUUUAUGCAACAAUAAAAGUCUAAUCAAAGUGUCACGGGUAAAAAAGGUGUAUCUUUUUGAAAGUGACAAAGCUGUGAUGUUAACCUUAAACAUCUGAUUUACUACAAAACAUAAUCUGGUAGUUUACAAACUACCACAAAGAUGCAGAGAUGUUAAUUUGUUUAAAUUAAACUUUUAAGAUCUGCUGAAAAACCAUGCUCCUAAAAAUACAAAAAAAGCUAAAAAAGAAAAUCCUAAAGCUAUAUCACCAGCACAGAAAUGUAUGUACUUGUGAUUUUUACAUUUUUUUUCUUUGUAAUUUUCUUUUUUAAUAGAAAAGUAGUUUAUGAAUUUCCUCCUUAAAUGUGAAUCAGAACCCGUCAAAGGUCAAACAGAAGUGGUAUCCUGUGUCCUUACUGUACUUUCUAAAAUAAAAUACCCCAAAAUAUUUCUGUGUUCCUCCACAAAAACAAGGUAAAUAUGACCACAGGCUCGCUGUUUUGCCCUUUUCCUCGUCUGUGGCCUCAAUCCUGCUGUGAACUCUGCUUUUCGAAGAAAAAUCUGGCUCCCCCGGGGGGAAAGCACAGGGAGGGCAGGACUUCUGUCUCAUGUUACGAAGCCAGACUGUGCAAAAAGUAUACGUCCAAUGGAGACCUGUACAGUAACAGGCCUGGCCCCAAGUGGGAGGAGGGAAGAGAGGAAAAAAAACAGUAAUUUCUGGGAAGUCUCUAAGUUCAACAAAAGACGGUUUCACUCACUGUCUGUGUAAAAACGGCUUCAAGGUCAACCACAAGAGUAAAAAAAUGACUUUCUCUGCCGGCAGACAUGUAUUAGAGUAAAAAUAAAAAAUGUGUUGUUAUAUAUUUGCUUUUAUGAGUUUUACCUUAAAAUGUGAACAAAAAUUGAGAAAAGUAUCCAUAACUGUUGACCUACAAGGUCCUAAUCUGUAUUUUUUAUCAUUACCAUUAAAAUAUCAAUGAACAAUGUUUACUCGCUCAUUUUAAAACUAAGUGUAAACCUUUACAAAUUGUACAUUAAACUUUUUUAUAAGCAAUGAAAACAUUCAUUCUUCUAUUCAUUCAUACCUUCUUCUAAUCCGUUUAGUCCCUUUCGGGGUGCCCGGGCUGCUGGAGCCUAUCCCAGCCACUUGUGGGCGAAGGCUGGGGACACCCUGGACAAGUCGCUAUUCUGUCACAGGCCCACAAAUACACAAUCACACACCCAUGCACACCUAUGGACAAUAACGAGUAACCAAUUAACCUAUGAAGCAUGAUUUUAGAAAGAGAACAUGUUCUGUUCCUGGUCCCCCAGCCGGGACUUGAACCAGGGGCCUUCUUUCUCAGGCAACCGCAAUAAGCACUGCUCCACCGUGCAGCCGCAACAAAACCAGAAAAAUCCAAUUCUAUAAUAAAUAGCAGCAUUUGUUUAUUUACAGAACAUUCAAUCAUUAACAAAACCAGUACAGAACAAAUAUGUACACUUAUAAACAACAUAUUUACAAGCUGAAUGGAAACAGAACUUGUGCCAUUUUGUCCUCACAAGCUGACAAACCCAGAAACCCUGGUCAGCUGUUUCACCCUCACUUUUCAACCAUUCAUGCUUAUUUACUCCCACAACACAAAUACAGAUCCAAAAGGUAGUUGUUGUCUCCCUGUGCCAUUUCCCAGAAAAAAAGGGGAAUUUAAAAACAAACACGCAAACACCGGGGAGACCCAAGAGCCAUUUGAACAGGAAUGCUGGCAUGACGGGGACACAAAUACAUGUGCCACGGUACAGCGGUUUGGUGGCAUCAAAGCUUUUUAACAACAUGAAAAA